CCCUUAGAUGUUCUGGGCCGCACGCGUGCUACACUGAGUGGAUCAGCGGGUCAGGUUGCGCGAAAGCGUUUCCUAAUCUUUAAAUCCGCUCGUGAUGGGGAUUGACGGUUGCAAUUUUCUGUCAUGAACGAGGAAUACCUUGUAAGCGCGGGUCAUCAUCCCGCGCUGAAUACGUCCCUGCCCUUUGUACACACCGCCCGUCGCUCCUACCGAUUGAGUGGUCCGGUGAGGCUUUGGGAUCUGAGCGGAAAGAGCGUUUCGCUGUUUCUGCUCGGAAAAUUCAGUCGAACCUUAUCAUUUAGAGGAAGGAGAAGUCGUAACA
rnacentral:rRNA from 1 species